UACGUAGGUGGCAAGCGUUAUCCGGAAUUAUUGGGCGUAAAGAGCGCGCAGGUGGUUAAUUAAGUCUGAUGUGAAAGCCCACGGCUUAACCGUGGAGGGUCAUUGGAAACUGGUUGACUUGAGUGCAGAAGAGGGAAGUGGAAUUCCAUGUGUAGCGGUGAAAUGCGUGGAGAUAUGGAGGAACACCAGUGGCGAAGGCGGCUUCCUGGUCUGCAACUGACACUGAGGCGCGAAAGCGUGGGGAGCAAACAGG
rnacentral:rRNA from 1 species